rnacentral:lncRNA from 1 species
GUGGGAGAUUGUUGGAAAAAUUUCAACGUAUGGGGCCACACAUGUAUAUAUAUAAAAAACGUGUGAUGCUAUUUUAAGGCUUAAUCAAUAAAGUGGUCUAUUAAAGUCAAUUUUUUUGGACUAAUGGGUAUUAAAUGUCAUGGGAAUAAAGUGUAGAGACCGAAAAAUGUUAUUUUAAAUUGAUGAGGGGCCAAUUUGAAAUAAUACAAAGAUAAUAACUACUUAAUGCAGUUAUCUAUCAUGGGGUCAUAAUUCUCAAUUGUCGUGAUUUCAUCUCUCUCUUUAUCCCCAUCAACAGAGAAGAAUUUUCAAGGGAAUUAUCUAACAAUUGGAAGAUUAUAACCCGUUCAAAACACUCAUAUCUAUGGAUCAAGGUACGUUUCCGCUUUUAAUUUUUUCUUUGAUUUCAACAUAGAGGAUCUACGUACUUUUGUGUAAGGAUUUGAUAGAAGUUUUUUGGUUCCUUUUCAACUCCUACACAUGUGCCAUAUAAAGAAAAGCUUAUAAGCUCAUCUCCUCCUCCUUUGAUAUUGACUGUACAGAUUAGCUUUGUGGAAAAAAGGUUGUUGGAAAAUAAGGGGUUGGAGAAGAAACAACAACAAAAUUAUAGAAACAAAAUGAAUAGAAACCACGAAAUACGUCAAGAACGAAUUUGAGGUUUGAACACGGGAUCGUUGUCCUCAAACUAUAUUUGCCCCUUUUCGGAAUUGAAUGAGAUGCUUAAGGGUUUUGGCAAACGGUUUGUAGGAUUAUAUCAAGCCUUGUAAAUGAUUUAACACCAAAGCACAAGUGCAAUCCCCCCAAAACUUUAAGAACACAAAGGAAGAUCUUGAAUAUGAAUGUAAAUCAAUAGUUUGAUUCAAUAUGGAAUGAUAUAUGGGUCUCAAGAUGUUUUCAAUGAUUUUAAUAAUGUUUGUAUUGAUCAUUCAUCACCUAUUUAUAGAUUUCAAUCAAUGCAUCACGAAAUGGAGCCAAAACAAGAUGAAAAGUGACAACUUUUAGUCCAAAACGGCUCCCAAGUUUUAAAUUGAAAAAUCAACCAACGGCUAUUUUUUUAACACUAUGCGUACGCAGAGUAUAAACUGUGCGCACGCUUAAUAGAAGCAAAAUUUAAUUCUUAUUUUGUCAAAACACAUCUCGCGUACGCACGAAAUUAAACCUAUGCGUACGCAUAGGCAAAAAAUCAAAUUUUUCAUUUUUCAAUUUUUUUUUCUACCAAUUCCACAAUUGAGCCCAACAAUAAGUCCAUUAUCAUUUCAUUGAUUUUGAACAAAUUUUCAACAAAGGUUACACAGGUUAGUAACAUGGUGUUGCACUGUAUUGUGUUUACAGUUCUUACCUUUUUGCCUUGAACCGAAAAUUGACCAUAUGGUAUAGUUUUAUAGGAAUUUCUGAAAUAUGCUGUGGAGAAGACGCAUAGUAUGCCGUAACACAGAAACAUUGGGGUUGAUUGGAUUGUUGGAAUAGGGUAAACCAAGGCUCAGGCGCAAAAGGAAACGCUAAAGAUUACAAAUACUUGGUAUUUGGAUAUUCUCGUGUGUGGUCUGUGUAGUUGGCUAUAUCUGCAGUUCUUGGAUCCUAGACCAUGAUUCUUGUAGAAGUUACUGCUUCUGGGUUUCUUAAAUCACAAAAGAAUUGUAGGGUUAUUCUAGUACUUUUUCCGGUCAGCGAAGGGGGACGUUGGCACAGCAUCUCAGUUACUUUAUAUCCACACGACUUUAUACUUUGUUCCUUUUCGCUUGACUUGCUAAUUCCGUGUCCACAUUCGCUUCACAUAUUUGUCGCUUUUCUAUCAACCUCAAUCAUGUCCUCAUCAAAGAGUUUCAUGCAUCCACACUCACUCUAAUAACAUGAUCAACACGUUUCAAUUAUCCGAUUGAAUAAAAUAAUGCUUUUUUAUCAUCAUGAAUCAUGACCGUAAGAUCAUUAUCGCAUUAUCUAAUAACAUGGUGUUGCACUGUAUUGUGUCCGUGACAUCACCUGAGAACAUGUUUUUA